rnacentral:antisense_RNA from 1 species
GAAGGCACGACAUUGCUCACAUUGCUUCAGUAUUUCUUAGCCAGCUCGGGUGCUGGCUUUUUUUU